GUGACCGCUCACCAAUCUAAAUUAAAUAUAUAACUAUAUUUUCAGAAUGGUGUUUGUCCCUACAAAGGAUGUUGUGUUGAGGAUGUUUGCUGUUACGUUGUUUUGCUGAUGCUAAACUGUUUAUAUUUUAUAUUUUAGCAAGCUGGAAUGCGGUUGCUAGUGUGUUCUGUGCGGUUGCAAAAGUAUUCUGGGUAGUUGUUAGGUGUUUACUUUCUAGCGCAAGAAAAAAAUAAAAAUAAACGUAUCUGAUAUUAUGGUCUCUAGAUAUAACUCGGGUCUCUGCUGUCCACAUAAUCUGAGGAAUCCUUCAUGUACUGUACAUUGCACAAAUGAACUCACCUGAAUAAAUGCAGCCUUCCAGCGCUGUGGAGUCCAGGACCCCCAGGAGCCCUGCAGAAGAGCGAGAGAGAUAAACAGAUAGAAAGAAACCUUCUGGAAAUCCAUCCUUCAUACAUUUAAAACUACUGAGAAAAAAAGGGAAACCAGUGCAUACCAGUUUGAUGCUGAUGCUAAUUUAGACAGGCUGUAUGUAAUGAAGGAUCAUGCUGAGUAUAAAGGAGCAGCUCGGGUCAAAAUUCCCAUGUGUCGACUUUGACAUAUCUGAGGAUCACAUGGCCAUAUGGACACACAAACCCUCUCCUUUACGUGCAA